GAUGAACGCUGGCGGCGUGCCUAAUACAUGCAAGUCGAACGCAUAGCGAAAGGUGCUUGCACCUUUCAAGUGAGUGGCGAACGGGUGAGUAACACGUGGACAACCUGCCUCAAGGCUGGGGAUAACAUUUGGAAACAGAUGCUAAUACCGAAUAAAACUUAGUGUCGCAUGACACAAAGUUAAAAGGCGCUUCGGCGUCACCUAGAGAUGGAUCCGCGGUGCAUUAGUUAGUUGGUGGGGUAAAGGCCUACCAAGACAAUGAUGCAUAGCCGAGUUGAGAGACUGAUCCGCCACAGUGUGACUGAGACACGGCCCAAACUCCUACGGGAGGCUGCAGUAGGGAAUCUUCCACAAUGGGCGAAAGCCUGAUGGAGCAACGCCGCGUGUGUGAUGAAGGCUUUCGGGUCGUAAAGCACUGUUGUAUGGGAAGAACAGCUAGAAUAGGAAAUGAUUUUAGUUUGACGGUACCAUACCAGAAAGGGACGGCUAAAUACGUG
rnacentral:rRNA from 1 species